CCCAGAUGAAGCUCCCAGCUUCGUCCUGGUCCAGCCCUGGCCAUUGCGGCCAUUUGGGAAAUGAACUAGUAGAUGAAGGAUCUCUCUGUCUCUCCCUUGCUCUUUGUAACUCUGCCUUUCAAAUAAAUAAAUAAAUCUUUAAAAAAUCUACUUAUAAAGUGGAUAUGACAAAAUAUUCAAAAUUAUUAAAUCUAAAAAAUUAAUAUGAUUUUUAAAAGCUACCACAAAGACUAUGAACUUGUCCCUCUGAGUUCCUGGUUAUUAUUUAUGGGUCUUUUCAUAGAAUGGCAAAUGCCCAAAACAGCACUCCUGUCUCAGAAUCAACCCUUGGGACAUUCGGAUCUGACUAAAAGGUCCAUGAGAGUCUCUCAGGCAUGGAAAGCCAUGACAUGGUGGCAAAAAACAAUCUAAAUGAAGGAUCCUGGUGAACAACACUCCAGCAGAAGGAUCAGGCCAUCAAGGAGAGAGGCGCCUUUCUCUGAAGGGAGGAAGGAACCUCCACUGUGAUAUGGCCUUGACUAAACAAAUUCAGAGUUGGUGAACUCAAGGGGCUUCCAUAGCCUAGACAGCUCAUAGCAAGAGCCUCGGGUGAUUGCUGACGUCAUAAAUAAGAGUGCCAAUUGUUAAAUCAACAACGGGAGUCACUGGGUUCAUGCUCCCCUCGCAGGAUCUCUGUCCUUAAUAUGUUUAUCUAUGAAACUCAAAAACAACACUACUAGUCGAACAAUACCCUAUACCUGGUUCGGUUGUGUGAGUGCAACCUGUUGAAAUCCCUGCUUAGUAUAUACUAAAUUGAUCUUCAGUAUAUGAAGGUUUAAAGCUAUGAAUUUUGGAUAUAUUUUAAAAGAUAAUAAAGUUAUUCAUUUGAUAUAAAAAUGGAAAAGAAAAACAUCAAACUCAGUGGAUCUGGCCUAGUAAAAUGCUCUAUCAAUUUUUCUUAAUUCAUAAUGUGAAGCAAGCAGGAAAAAAAGAGAUUGAACAUACACUAUCCAGGCAGCUGCUCAUCAGGUGAGGAGAGCCAGGACUUGGCCGUGAGCUUUGCCACAACUCCUUCAGAGAGGAGAUGUGUCUGACAAGCUGCCCUCCUCCGGCAUCCUGCAUGCCUCUCCCGGGGUCUGAGCUCAGUU